rnacentral:rRNA from 1 species
AGCAGCCGCGGUAAUUCCAGCUCCAAUAGCGUAUAUUAAAGUUGUUGCAGUUAAAAAGCUCGUAGUUGAAUUUCGAGACCGGCUUACUGGUCGUGCUAUUGUACGUACUGGUAUAAUCGGUUUCUCCUUUCUGACGAACUAUAAUGCCAUUAAUUUGGUGUUUUAGGGAAUCAGGACUGUUACUUUGAAAAAAUUAGAGUGUUUAAAGCAGGCUCACGCUUGAAUACAUUAGCAUGGAAUAACGGAAUAGGACGUUUGAUUCUAUUUUGUUGGUUUCUAGGAUCGACGUAAUGAUUAAUAGGGAUAGUUGGGGGCAUUAGUAUUCAAUUGUCAGAGGUGAAAUUCUUGGAUUUAUUGAAGACUAACUACUGCGAAAGCAUUUGCCAAGGAUGUUUUCAUUAAUCAAGAACGAAAGUUAGGGGAUCGAAGACGAUCAGAUACCGUCGUAGU